CGUUUAGAUCUACAUCAAAUACAAUAGAUUAAUAAAAUCGCUAGAUGUACGAUGUUAACUGUGACGUAAUUUGAAUGGGAAACCACUAGCAGCGCUCACGGACUUUCGGAGUACUGCGCAUGCGCGUCACUUUGAACUGUAACGGUCGUCAGUCAACCGGGAGUUCUCGGAGUAAAAGCUGUAGAGUGUUUGGGAGACCGUGCUGCCUGCUGUUGUCGAUCUAUGAUGCUCCUGUCACUGAUAGUGGCCUGUAACGUAAGUUUUUUUGGGGGGGGGGCUAAAUUUAAUGUUUUACUAAACUUGUUAAUUAGGCACACGUUAUUUUCUCGUUAUUAAAGUUCAGGCAUAUGCUGGUUUGGCAUUAAUGGCAUUUCAUACGCUCAAUUUUUCUACUAUUAUUAUUAUCAUUAUUAAUAUAGCCUUACUAUAAUAUAAUUUUUAUUCACUUUCUGCUGAAUGACAAGCUGUUUUCGAAUAUCCAGUUGAGCCAGUGAUUCAGUAAGUUGCUUGUAACAGAAGAUGCUUAUUUGUCACGACUUACAGGUUUACAUGUGUCAUUCAUUACUGUAAAAAAAUCUACUUUUUAUUUUCAGUAGCAGAAGCAGAGACGGUCUGUGCAACAGCAACAAGGUGCGGGUCAAAACCCAUCUGUCAAGACGCUUGUCCACUUGCUGUCCACCCCACCAGCCCAACGAUUGUGCUGGAGAACCACAAGUCACAGAAAAAGAGAAUGUCAUAAUCAACUGGAACAGCAUGAGGUGGUAGAGGCAGAAGAAGUGCCUUUGAUGAGGAAACCAUGGCAGCCAUAUAUACAGUAAGUUAAUACUUAGUGAAAGGAAAAUUUACUAGAAACAUUAAGUUAAAAAAAUAACUGAUUUUUGUCUCACAGUCAAGAAGAGAUUUCCAAAUGUGUCCAAAGAGGCUUUGAGGAUUUGACGUGGGGAAACUGAGACUUCUUGAAAGCAAAAAAGUUAAUUUUUUGAACAUUGUAAAGUAUGUUCCUUGCUGAUUUUUAUUCAAAUGUUCACGUGUUAUAGACAACAAAUAAAAGUUUUUCAAAUGUGA